rnacentral:rRNA from 1 species
GCGGCAGGCCUAACACAUGCAAGUCGAACGCUCCGCAAGGAGAGUGGCAGACGGGUGAGUAACACGUGGGAAUCUUCCUAUCGGUACGGAAUAGCUCAGGGAAACUUGAGGUAAUACCGCAUACGCCCUUCGGGGGAAAGAUUUAUCGCCGAUAGAUGAGCCCGCGUCUGAUUAGCUAGUUGGUGAGGUAAUGGCUCACCAAGGCGACGAUCAGUAGCUGGUCUGAGAGGAUGACCAGCCACACUGGGACUGAGACACGGCCCAGACUCCUACGGGAGGCAGCAGUGGGGAAUAUUGGACAAUGGGCGCAAGCCUGAUCCAGCCAUGCCGCGUGAGUGACGAAGGUCUUCGGAUUGUAAAGCUCUUUUGCCAGGGACGAUAAUGACGGUACCUGGAGAAUAAGCCCCGGCUAACUUCGUGCCA